rnacentral:rRNA from 1 species
GAUGAACGCUGACAGAAUGCUUAACACAUGCAAGUCCACUUGAACUUCGGUUUGGGUGGCGGACGGGUGAGUAACGCGUAAAGAACUUGCCUCACAGCUAGGGACAACAUUUGGAAACGAAUGCUAAUACCUGAUAUUAUGAUUAUAUGGCAUCGUAUAAUUAUGAAAGCUAUAUGCGCUGUGAGAGAGCUUUGCGUCCCAUUAGCUAGUUGGAGAGGUAACAGCUCACCAAGGCGAUGAUGGGUAGCCGGCCUGAGGGGGUGAUCGGCCACAAGGGGCUUGGAACACGGCCCUUAUUCUUACGGGAGGAAGAAGUGGGGAAUAUUGGACAAUGGACCGAGCGUCUGAUACAGAAAUCCUGUGUGGAAGAUGAAGUUUUUCGGAAUGUAAAGUGCUUUCAGUUGGGGAGAAAAAAAUGACGGUACCAACAGAAGAAGUGACGGCUAAAUACGUG